GAGGUAGGGAGGGGUGCCGUAGCGUCAUCAUGAGCUUCUGAACCCAGUCCUUCAGCUGCGGAGAGAUAACCGCAUCAGCCAGCCCUCAUGUGCGUGGGCACCACCAUUCCUGCGCACCGCUGUCGCCGUGGGCGCUCACCCAACUCAGCCCACUCAGGCAGGGAGAAAGGCUCCCGCUGACAGUAGCCACUCAACAACUCAUGGAGAUCUAGGCCCAGCAGCCUCUGAGGCUGUGCACAUGAAUGCUGGAGCCCUCCGAGGCCAGAAAAGGGUGUUGGAUGCCUGGAGCUGGAGUUACAGACACUUGUGAGCCGCCCCACGUGGGCGCUGGCAUCCCGCCAAAUGUGGGUGCUCCGGAAGAGCAGUGCGAGGCCCCCAAGCACUGGGCCCCUGAGCAAGCUCCGCCCUCUUCGGCUGCUUUCCGUUUGGUGUUUUAGAGACAGCCAUAGCAAGCAGGUUCUGGCCUUGUUUCAUUUUUGCCACAUAGUACAGGUCAGCCUCGAACUCACAUCCCUCACACUUCAGUCUGGAAUACUGAGACUGCAGGUCUGCACCACCAUGCCUGGCUUAAAUAAUGUGAUUUAAAGGUUUAAAUUUAUUUUGGAGUGAAGGUUUCAGGUGUGUGUAUUGGGAGUGGGGUGUGUUCACAGGCGUGCGGUGCCCGUGGAGGCCGGAGGCACUGGUUGUGCCCACCAGGCAUGGCAGCUGGGAACCAAAACCCAGGUCCUCUCCAAGAGCAGCAGCUGCCCUUGAUCAGAGUGACCUCUCCAGGCCUGGGAUUUCAACAUGCAAAGCACACGCUCCAACACUGAGCUCUACACUAAGGGAAGUCCGCCAGUGACAAAUCAACUAGUGAUGCCUGACUCCGGCCGUCAUCUGAGGAGCCCAGAAUAGUCGAUCCCGAGGGGGAAGAUGCAGACGGAGUAUGGCUGCCGGGACUGGAGGAGGAGGGAGUAGAGAGUGGGUAUCUGGAGAGCACGGGUUUUAGUUCUGUAAGAAGACGGGUUCUGAGCAGUGCUGGUGUUUGCUCAACAGCACAGGCUUAACACCUGGGAUGUUCAAAAUGGAGAGGCAGGGCCGGUGCAGGGGAGCUCGGUGGAUGAGGCCCAACAUGCAUGAGACCCGGGGUUCUGUUCCCCAGCGUAUGGACACUGAUGGACACGCACACGCAUGCACACACACACAGAGUACAGAGAGGAAUAGAGAGGGGUGAAGAUACUAAGUUAUGUAUAUUCAAACACAAUCUUAAAAAACAUGGAAAUCUA